rnacentral:rRNA from 1 species
CCGCGGUAAUACGGAGGGUGCAAGCGUUGUUCGGAUUUACUGGGCGUAAAGCGCGCGCAGGUGGGCGUGCAAGUCGGAAGUGAAAUCCCUCGGCUCAACCGGGGAACUGCGUCCGAUACUGGUGGGCUUGAGUUCGGGAGAGGGAUGUGGAAUUCCAGGUGUAGCGGUGAAAUGCGUAGAUAUCUGGAGGAACACCGGUGGCGAAGGCGGCAUCCUGGACCGACACUGACGCUGAGGCGCGAAAGCCAGGGGAGCA